CAAACACCCCAUAUAUCUUCUCUUUUGCAAACCCUAGAUUCCCAUACUUUUCUUUUUCCUGGUUCAUACACACACCUUAUAGAAACCCGCAUGGAUGAAUUUUUGGGCGGCCAAUUCUUGCGUUCGAAUUUUGAAUUCCCGCUGCACAUCCCAAUCACGGUUAUCAUGCCUUUUCCAUUUUCUUUUCAUUUGCAUAUAGAGAGAGUGAGAGCGAAAAGAGAGAGAGGGGCAGGAGAGUCUCUAGGGGAAAGGAAGUCCGGCAAGGUUUUUGGUUGGCGACCGCAGAGGAAAGGAAGUCCGGCAAGGUUUUUGGUUGGCGACCAGCGGUAGUGGCGGCUAGGGUUUCAAGCCGAUUUUCUCAGGUGGCGGCAGGAACAAAAUAAGCGGCGGCUAGGGUUCCGACCACCCUUAUUCACAGCGCAUGCCUUUUUCUUCUUGUAGAUCGACUACUUUAGUAGUUGAACCUGAUUUGGUGACAUGGACCAACCGAUUACUGGUAUUGCUACAACGUUGCUUCUGGUAAUAUUUGAAAUUAAUGUCAACCAGAGCGUAUUAGAAGGAGUGGGUAAAGAAGAAGAAAAGAUCAUUCAUUGGUGGUUCUAGGUUUUCAUUGAAAUAAAAGACCAAAGAUGAGAAUGGGGAACCUGUUAUUACUUUUUCUUUUGAAUUUUAUGAACUAAAUUAUUCAUUUUUUUGGUUUCUUGUAUAAGCAAGUUUUUAGUUGCUUUUAAUUUGGUUGUUAGUUCAUGUGAAUUUGCUGAUAAUGAGUUAAAUUAUUUUUUGCACAGGAACUAGACAUGGAUUCACUUCCAAGGAACAAGCAUGAGUUAACUGUCAUUUUGAAGGAUGUUACAUCAAAUAGAAAUAAUGGAAACGCUAGCCUGGGCCAGUGGUGGAUUUUCUUAUCAACAACCAAAAUGUGAAAGAUCCUUACUCAAUUGACUGGGCUAAGGCAAAGCGGACCCUAAAAAACCUUAGGGUGAAGGCCAGCCCGACUAAUACAGAGUACAAGAUUACUGGUCUGAGUGAGAAGCCCUGCAACGAACAACUCAAGAACUGGAAGCAAGUACAGCACAACCUAUAUUUGUUGAUUCAAGUAUCAGUGAAGUGUGCACGCAUCCUGAAAUGUGUCCUAGCUUGGCUAUGGUCAGGUUAUAUAGAGCUGCCAAUAUAUGUAGCAGAGCUAAAAGAAAAUGGAGGAAACAUCAAGAAAUUCAGUAGCAUCAUUCACUUAUUUAAGCUGAAAACAUGAUAUGCUGACCAGUUGUGCUCAGAUCAUGCCAUGCUUCUUAUAUUAAAAAUUUGUUUGUACCACUGACCUGUCGGGAGUGGUGCUCAGGUGAUGCAGGGUAGCGGCUAGGGCUCUACUAGGAUUCGGUGUCAGCUAUGGUUGUGCUAAUGACAAGUUCAUAUCAAUUGUCAAGAUCCAACUCUUGAUUCUCUUGUUAAGUUGACAAGCCUUUUGAUUAUUUAUGAUUUUACUGUCUUGUAGUUUACAUUUGUUUCAUGUAUUAAUCAAAUUUACACUUUGUUUCAUGUAUUAAUCAAUCGUGACAUUUGUGACAUUAUGUAUGAUUUUACUACCUUUUAGUUUACAUUUGUUUCAACA